rnacentral:rRNA from 1 species
AGGACGAACGCUGGCGGCGUGCUUAACACAUGCAAGUCGAGCGGAAAGGCCCUUCGGGGUACUCGAGCGGCGAACGGGUGAGUAACACGUGAGUAAUCUGCCCCUAGCUCUGGGAUAGCUCCGGGAAACCGGGAUUAAUACCAGAUACGACCACUUUAGACAUCUUCUGUGGUGGAAAGAACUUCGGCUAGGGAUGAACUCGCGGCCUAUCAGCUUGUUGGUGAGGUAACGGCUCACCAAGGCGACGACGGGUAGCCGGCCUGAGAGGGCGACCGGCCACACUGGGACUGAGACACGGCCCAGACUCCUACGGGAGGCAGCAGUGGGGAAUAUUGCGCAAUGGGCGAAAGCCUGACGCAGCGACGCCGCGUGGGGGAUGAAGGCCUUCGGUUGUAACCCUUUCAGCAGGGACGAAGCGAAAGUGACGGUACCUGCAGAAGAAGCGCCGGCUAACUACGCGCCAGCAGCCGC